GACGAACGCUGGCGGCGUGCCUAACACAUGCAAGUCGAGCGGGGUUGAAGCGAGGGGUAACUCGGACUUCUACCUAGCGGCGGACGGGUGAGUAACGCGUGGGCAACCUGCCUCAAGGUUUGGGAUAACAGCUCGAAAGGGCUGCUAAUACCGGAUAUGCCUGUGGCCUCGCAUGGGGCUAUGAGCAAAGGGGAAACCCGCCUUGAGAUGGGCCCGCGUCCCAUCAGCUAGUUGGUGAGGUGAAGGCUCACCAAGGCGACGACGGGUAGCCGGCCUGAGAGGGUGACCGGCCACACUGGGACUGAGACACGGCCCAGACUCCUACGGGGGGCAGCAGUGGGGGAUCUUGCACAAUGGGCGAAAGCCUGAUGCAGCGACGCCGCGUGAGCGAAGAAGGCCUUCGGUGUAAGCUCUGUCUGGAGGGACGAAGAAAUAGACGGUACCUCCGGAGGAAGCCGACGGCUAACUACGUCG
rnacentral:rRNA from 1 species